rnacentral:ncRNA from 2 species
GGGAACCCGGUGUGAUUCCGGGACUGCCCCGCAACGGUGAGUGGGAACGACCGCCGUCAUGAAGACCGGCCGUGGCUCCGCCGGACCCGCCGGAGCCCGGAAACC